rnacentral:rRNA from 1 species
CGGCCGCGUCGACAGGUCUUGACAUCCCGAUGCUAUUUCUAGAGAUAGAAAGUUACUUCGGUACAUCGGUGACAGGUGGUGCAUGGUUGUCGUCAGCUCGUGUCGUGAGAUGUUGGGUUAAGUCCCGCAACGAGCGCAACCCCUAUUGUUAGUUGCCAUCAUUCAGUUGGGCACUCUAGCGAGACUGCCGGUAAUAAACCGGAGGAAGGUGGGGAUGACGUCAAAUCAUCAUGCCCCUUAUGACCUGGGCUACACACGUGCUACAAUGGUUGGUACAACGAGUUGCGAGUCGGUGACGGCGAGCUAAUCUCUUAAAGCCAAUCUCAGUUCGGAUUGUAGGCUGCAACUCGCCUACAUGAAGUCGGAAUCGCUAGUAAUCGCGGAUCAGCACGCCGCGGUGAACUACGUUCCCGGGCCUUGUACACGUCGACGCGGCCG